UACGGAGGGUGCAAGCAUUGAUCGGAAUUACUGGGCGUAAAGGGCGCGUAGGCGGCAAUAUAAGUUGGAUGUGAAAUUCCGCGGCUCAACUGCGGAGCUGCAUUCAAGACUGUAUAGCUAGAGCGUAGUUAGGGAAAACGGAAUUCCACAUGUAGCGGUGAAAUGCGUAGAUAUGUGGAAGAACACCAGUGGUGAAGACGGUUUUCUGGGCUAAGGCUGACGCUGAGGCGCGAAAGCUAGGGGAGCAAACAGG
rnacentral:rRNA from 1 species